GAACGAACGCUGGCGGCGUGGAUAAGACAUGCAAGUCGAACGCUCACUUCAGGGUAGCAAUAUUCUGGGGUGGGAGUGGCGCAAGGGUGCGUAACACGUGGGUAAUUUGCCGCGAAGCCGGGAACAACUCGUUGAAAGACGAGCUAAUACCCGAUGUGCUCCUAACGGAGGAAAGCAGGGGACCGAAAGGCCUUGCACUUUGCGAUAAGCCCGCGGCCUAUCAGCUAGUUGGCGGGGUAAAGGCCCACCAAGGCUAAGACGGGUAGCUGGUCUGAGAGGACGACCAGCCACACUGGAACUGAGACACGGUCCAGACACCUACGGGUGGCAGCAGUCGAGAAUUUUUCACAAUGGGCGAAAGCCUGAUGGAGCGACGCCGCGUGGGGGAUGAAGGGCUUCGGCUCGUAAACCCCUGUCAUUUGCGAACAAGGGCGCCAACCUAAUACGUUGUCGCUUGAUAGUAGCAGAAGAGGAAGGGACG
rnacentral:rRNA from 1 species